rnacentral:rRNA from 1 species
UACGGAGGGUCCAAGCGUUAUCCGGAAUCAUUGGGCUUAAAGGGUCCGUAGGCGGUUUUGUAAGUCAGGGGUGAAAGCCCAUCGCUCAACGGUGGAACGGCCAUUGAUACUGCAAGACUUGAAUUAUUAGGAAGUAACUAGAAUAUGUAGUGUAGCGGUGAAAUGCUUAGAGAUUACAUGGAAUACCAAUUGCGAAGGCAGGUUACUACUAAUGGAUUGACGCUGAUGGACGAAAGCGUGGGGAGCGAACAGG